UUCCUCGUGAUGUAAACGGUAGCACCCUCGGCUUACAACCGCGUGAUUUCGGGUUCGAAUCCUGGGCGAGGAAG